rnacentral:lncRNA from 1 species
CCACGUGACGUCCAUGGUUCUUUGGCCCCAAAUAUCACCCGCUGGAAGUUGGCUCAUGCGGGAGGGCCUUUCUUAUUCAGUCUCCUACCCUGUAAAUGGUGGGAUCAGAAGAAGCAGAGACAGCGACUCCUAGAGAAAUUGAAAAUUGAGAAAAGCAUGUGGGACAAGCGAUGGCAGUGAAGAGGACUGUGGGGAACUUGAAAGAGACAGCUUCAUGAAAGAGAAUGAGCCUUGAUGGGAGCGGGUGGGGAAAGGAGAGAAAUUCAGAGAAAAGUAGGAUCUCCGGAGCGUUAAGGGUGAGCAACACAGGGAGGUGUGGUGGUUCUUUCCGACUCUGCGAGCCCUAAUCUCCUAGAGUUUUCUCAAAUCCAUGUCCGUUGAGUCCAGGGAUGGUAUCCAACCAUCUCAUCCUCUACCACCCUCUUCUAUAGCCUUCAAGGGAGAGCGUCUGUAAAUCAGGGGUCCCAGAGAGGGUGACAGUGGAGAGGCAGUUUAAACAGACAGCCCACAAAGGGGAUACAAGAGUUGGGACCAGAGCCACAAUAUCUUGCUGAGAGAGAAAGGGGACUUCUAGAGAUUGGAGGAGCUGAGAAAAGAAGAGAGCUGAAAGGAAGCAUAACCACUUGGGAGUGCCAGAGUGUUGGGAGGGAGGGAGGGCAGAGGUGGAAGAAGAAAGGCAGAAAUACAAGGAGAUUGAGGAUCACCAAGGAGAUUGAGAGAAAGCAACUUGAAGGUGAUAGAUGGAAGAGAGAGGCGGGAUGGGAAGCAGGGAAGAAGUAGAGAGGAGGACAGGCACAGCAGGAGAGCAGAGAAAAAGAGACAGAGAAAGAAGUAGGGAAACAGUUCAACCAAAUGGAGUGGAAACAGCUAGUGUGCAGGUAAUGGUGGGGACUAGAUCCAGAAGAGUGCUGAAUCAGUUGGGUAUGAAUUAUUAAGUUGUAAUACAUUGAUUUUUGGCUUUAAAACCUAAUGCAAAUCUUGCUUCUUUAUACAGAUAAGAAUGAGAAUUGCAAAACUUCUGUCUGUGAGGCAUGUGUAUUU